rnacentral:rRNA from 1 species
UGAAGCUUAAGCUUGUUUUAACAUAAUUGGUUCUGCCUUUUGUAUCAUGAUCUGGGGAAUAUUUUCGGACAGUCCGUUAGAUAGAAAGAUAGCGAUUUUCCUAGUGUUUUGUUGCUGAGAAAGCCCAUGACAACUCUAGGAGGAUGUGAUAAAUAAGUCGCGCUAUCUUAUAACUAGUAGCAAACGUCAGAGAAUUUUUAGUCUCCUAGCUUAGAGGUUAGGAGGCCUUUCAUAAGGAGCUUACACUAAAAAGAGCGGGGGGUUUAAAGGUCACCUUCCUGAGGAAGUGUUAUAACUCUACUUAGUAGUUGCAUCUUUUUAUAGUAGUUUGCCUCAAAAUAAGACAUCUGUAAGUAUUCUAGAAUUAGUAGAUAAGUGACUAAAUAAAAUUUUGAAUUAGCCCGGACUGUUUAUUAAAAACAUUUCUGCAAUGAUAUUUUUGCAGUAUAGCCUGCUCAGUGUAUAAUUAACAGCCGCAGUAUUUUGACUGUGCUAAGGUAGCAUAAUUACUUGUCCUCUAAAUAGGGAAUCGUUUGAAUGGCUGAUUUGGGUUAUUUUAGAUUUUUUAGUUAAUGUGAAUUUGAAUUAUGAGUAAAGAUUCUCAUAAUAUAAUAAAAGACGGAAAGACCCCGAGAGCUUAAAGUUAAAUUUCCUUGGGGCGAGAGUCUUAUUUCAAAGGCAGUGAGAACCUAAAAUUAGUUUAUUGAUUAAGUUACCUCGGGGAUAACAGGGUAAGAAGUAAGGAGAGAUCACAUUGAUUUACUUAAGUGCCACCUCGAUGUUGACUUAAAGUAACCCCAGAGAGCAGCAUUUCUGAGGGUAGGCCUGUUCGGCCUUUAAAUCUUUUCAUGAGUUGAGUUGAGACCGGUGUAAGCCAGGUCGGUUCCUAUCUUUAUGUCCUCUUCUUUAGUACGAAAGGAUUGAGAAGCGUUUAAGUUA